rnacentral:rRNA from 1 species
UACGGGGGGGGCAAGCGUUGUUCGGAAUUACUGGGCGUAAAGGGCGCGUAGGCGGCCUGCUAAGUCGGAUGUGAAAUCCCUCGGCUCAACCGAGGAACUGCAUCCGAUACUGGCGGGCUUGAAUCCGGGAGAGGGAUGUGGAAUUCCAGGUGUAGCGGUGAAAUGCGUAGAGAUCGGGAAGAACACCCGUGGCGAAGGCGACGUGCUGGGCUGUACCUGACGCUGAGAUGCGAAAGUGUGGGGAGCAAACGGG